GCCCGCCUAGCUCAAUUGGCAGAGCACUUCAUUUGUAAUGAAGGGGUUUCCGGUUCGAGUCCGGAGGCGGGCU
rnacentral:tRNA from 1 species